UACGGAGGAUGCGAGCGUUAUCCGGAUUUAUUGGGUUUAAAGGGUGCGCAGGCGGGAUUUUAAGUCAGCGGUGAAAUUUUCAGGCUCAACCUGAACACUGCCGUUGAAACUGGGAUUCUUGAGUAUGGAUGAAGUAGGCGGAAUUCGUUGUGUAGCGGUGACAUGCUUAGAUAUAACGAGGAACUCCGAUUGCGUAGGCAGCUUACUAAGCCAUAACUGACGCUCAAGCACGAAAGCGUGGGGAUCAAACAGGAUUAGAUACCCUGGUAGUCCACGCCGUAAACGAUGAUUACUAGUUGUUUGCGAUAUACCGUAAGUGACUAAGCGAAAGCGAUAAGUAAUCCACCUGGGGAGUACGCCGGCAACGGUGAAACUCAAAGGAAUUGACGGGGGCCCGCACAAGCGGAGGAACAUGUGGUUUAAUUCGAUGAUACGCGAGGAACCUUACCCGGGCUUGAAAUGUACCUGACCGUCCUUGAAAAGGGACUUCUAGCAAUAGCAGGUAUGUAGGUGCUGCAUGGUUGUCGUCAGCUCGUGCCGUGAGGUGUCGGCUUAAGUGCCAUAACGAGCGCAACCCACAUUAUUAGUUACUAACAGGUUAAGCUGAGGACUCUAAUAAGACUGCCGUCGUAAGAUGCGAGGAAGGUGUGGAUGACGUCAAAUCAGCACGGCCCUUACGUCCGGGGCGACACACGUGUUACAAUGGGAGGUACAAAGGGCUGCUACCUGGUGACAGGAUGCUAAUCCCCAAAGCCUCUCCCAGUUCGGAUCGGAGUCUGCAACUCGACUCCGUGAAGCUGGAUUCGCUAGUAAUCGCGCAUCAGCCAUGGCGCGGUGAAUACGUUCCCGGGCCU
rnacentral:rRNA from 1 species